AAUAGAUACCCUGGUAGUCCACGCCGUAAACGAUGAGUGCUAAGUGUUAGGGGUUUCCGCCCCUUAGUGCUGCAGCUAACGCAUUAAGCACUCCGCCUGGGGAGUACGGUCGCAAGACUGAAACUCAAAGGAAUUGACGGGGGCCCGCACAAGCGGUGGAGCAUGUGGUUUAAUUCGAAGCAACGCGAAGAACCUUACCAGGUCUUGACAUCCCGCUGACCGCUAUGGAGACAUAGCUUUCCCUUCGGGGACAGCGGUGACAGGUGGUGCAUGGUUGUCGUCAGCUCGUGUCGUGAGAUGUUGGGUUAAGUCCCGCAACGAGCGCAACCCUUGUCCUUAGUUGCCAUCAUUCAGUUGGGCACUCUAAGGAGACUGCCGUACAAAUACGGAGGAAGGUGGGGAUGACGUCAAAUCAUCAUGCCCCUUAUGACCUGGGCUACACACGUGCUACAAUGGACGGUACAAACGGUUGCGAAGUCGCGAGACGGAGCCAAUCCGAGAAAGCCGUUCUCAGUUCGGAUUGCAGG
rnacentral:rRNA from 1 species